rnacentral:rRNA from 1 species
GACAGAGGAGGCAAGCGUUGUCCGGACUGACUGGGCGUAAAGCGUCCGCAGGUGGUCGUGCAAGUGCGCUGUGAAAGCGGCCCGCUCAACGGGCCGAGGCCAGCGCAGACUGCGCGACUCGAGGUCGGGAGAGGUCGGUGGAAUUGCCGGUGUAGUGGUGAAAUGCGUAGAGAUCGGCAGGAACACCCAAGGGGAAGCCAGCCGACCUGGCCC